rnacentral:rRNA from 1 species
UGAGUUCAAGAGUACGUGAAACCGUUCAGGGGUAAACCUGAGAAACCCGAAAGGUCGAAGGAGGAAAUUCAUUCGCGUUUCGAUCGUCGGCGAUUGACGGGUUUUGUGACGGAUGGCGUUCGCGUCGUUCGCGCAGCUCGUUUAUCGAACCGAUAUCGAACGCGUGCACUUUUCCUCUUGUAGGACGUUGCGAUCCGUUGGGUGUCGGUCUAAGGUCCGAGGUGGAGCCCACGUGAACGUUUCGCGACGUAUUGCGUGGACCCUCGGUAUCCCGGCCGACUCGCUCGACGGUAUAACGAUGGCGCGGGGCCGCUACAUUUUAAUUAGCGUUCGGCUCGUAGCAAGCGCGUUCGGUGUUUGACGGCGAUCGGACCUAGUGCCGAUCCUGUCCCCGUUCGACUGUUGGCUACGAUGUUCUCGAACAGACCUCGUCGAAACGCCGAUCUGCAACGCUAUAGCUUUGGGUACUUUCAGGACCCGUCUUGAAACACGGACCAAGGA